UAAUCUCAACACAGAGGCAGAAGAGCUGAUCGUUCCCAUGUACACAUGAUGCGUUAGCAGAGGCCGACUGACGGAGCUACAUGGUGAAGUGUCUUGUGUAGUCGUAUUCUAUUGUGGGAAUGACGGCCUGGACAAACUUGAGAAAAAUCAGAAGAUACCUGAAAGUCCAAGUUAAGGAAAAAACGGAGGAGUAUGGAGGGAAAUUACGUGGGCGUUUAUCUGGGGUGGACAGAGCACAUGGCAGGUGGAGGAAGGUGCGGGUGGUUCUCGAUGGUGACCGUCUUCUUCACAUGGUCCUGGCUGAUGUCCUCGUACAUCUGCUCUACAGUCAGCGGUUGCCUGUCCUGGGAGACACCACAACAGCUUGAUGAGCUGAUGCUCUGUUUUUGGUCUCCACCAGCUCCUGAGGGAAAUAUCUGGCUCUGUAGCUGCGACAUGCUGCUGACCUGGUUGUGUAUUUAAUCAGAAUGAAACAUACCUUAUUAUUGUCCAGUGAAAUAUCUUGUACAGCAUCUGUGACUCCUGACACACCUGCCGGAACACAUCAGUCAGAGAAAUUCAGACCAUCUUUAUAGACUUACACAUACUGAGGUCUCACAGUCAUCUUCAUUUUUAUUUUCAAUAAAUAUUUUACAUUAAAAAAACAUCAUCUUCAUUUCUAUAUAUUUUCAGUGCCUAUUCCCACUAAAAUUGUGACUUAUAUGUAGGGCGGGGCAAUAAAGCAAUAAUAGUAUUUAUUUUUGUUAAUAACAAUAUUACAAAUAUUCAAUAAAUGUUUGAUUUAUUCAUUUGAA